UUGCAGGGGCAGCAGAUUGGCUCGGUGGGAUCCCAGGAUAGUUUUCCUUUGGCCGGGCUAGGGUGGGCUGUUCACUCUUCCUCCCCUGUCACCACCGCACGGGCUCAUCACUAAGCUGCUGCAGCAAUUGGAGCUUAGCUCUUAUCAGGAGGCAUUCACAGCUAAUUACUGGGCGGAAUAACCUGAUCUGUCAACAGCUGUGCCGCUGGGAAACUGAUCAUGUGACUCGGCCGGCACUGCAGCCACGGCACCUUCACAUUACAGUAGAUGUCCCCUCCCCAGAGACCAGCCAGCCUAUCACGGUCUUCAGGGUGGGCUGCCUCUGGGUGGGCUGCAUGUAUCAGCCUAGCCCCUCCCCUCUUCCUGCUCCUCGUCUGCUGCGUGUGUCACUGGAAUGCCUGCCCCUCCCCUCCACAGUGUCCUGGCUUCCUCUAUGCAGCUGCUUUCUAUAGGAAAACGAAGUGUUCCUCUAAUCUUACUGACAUUAUCAGCAAAUCUCUCUCUAACCCGAUGGCGUCCGGCUUGGAUCCCGGCUACGAAGACCCUACCGCCCUGCAUUCAUAUCUGGUGAAGACGCAACCCCUCGGCACUGCUAGCGCCAACCUUAAACUGUAGAAUAGAAUCAAUCUGCCCCGUGACCCUGCUUUACAAUUCUGAUUUUUGCAACACCAGUGAUGUAAUCGGCUGCAACUGGACAACCAGGCAAUCAGCAGAAACUGAACAGCACAAGUACA